CUCGGAUCCCCGGGGAGCCCUCACAGCAGCCGGGCGUGCAGGCUGAGUGUCUGUGGACCCCCACUGCUUGGCUUCUCUUUCUGCAUCGCUUCCCUCUUGCCCCCCUUUUCCUUCUGUCUUCUGCUCCCCUGCAGAUCCCACAGGCACCAGGUCACCCAGGGCAGAGCCUCAUGGGGCUGUGAGCAGCUCAGCCACCAGAGAGAGAGAGCUGGAGGAAGGAGCUCUGCA